rnacentral:rRNA from 1 species
UACGUAGGGUGCAAGCGUUUGUCCGGAAUUAUUGGGCGUAAAGAGCUCGUAGGCGGUUUGUCGCGUCUGCUGUGAAAACCCGAGGCUCAACCUCGGGCCUGCAGUGGGUACGGGCAGACUAGAGUGCGGUAGGGGAGAUUGGAAUUCCUGGUGUAGCGGUGGAAUGCGCAGAUAUCAGGAGGAACAUCAAUGGCGAAGGCAGAUCUCUGGGCCGUAACUGACGCUGAGGAGCGAAAGCAUGGGGGAGCGAACAGG